CGGAUAAUUUCUUGGGGUAUUGACAGAUUGGCAGCUCUUUCUUGAUUCGGGAGAUGGUGGUGCAUGUCUGUUCUUAGUUGGUGUAACGAUUUGUAUGAUUAAUUUUGAUAAUGAACGAGACUCUAGCCUAUUAAAUAGGUGCGUGGUUCUCUGCACCUUCUACCUUUAUUAGCGGCUCCUAGCCUCACGAAACAGAGCAAUAACAGGUCUAUGAUGCCCUUAGAUGUUCG
rnacentral:rRNA from 1 species